UACGGGGGGGGCAAGCGUUGUUCGGAAUUACUGGGCGUAAAGGGCUCGUAGGCGGCCAACUAAGUCAGACGUGAAAUCCCUCGGCUUAACCGGGGAACUGCGUCUGAUACUGGAUGGCUAGAGUGUGGGAGAGGGAUGCGGAAUUCCAGGUGUAGCGGUGAAAUGCGUAGAUAUGUGGAAGAAUACCGGUGGUGAAGACGGUUUUCUGUACUAAACCUGACGCUGAGGCGCGAAAGCUAGGGGAGCAAACAGG
rnacentral:rRNA from 1 species